UCCUGUAUGUGGCAUGAGGCUCUUAGUUACAAUGUCCUCUCCUUUUUCCAAUUUUAUACUGUAGCCAAACCCUCCAUGGGUUUUAGUGUAAAUGCGGAUACCUAUUUAAUAGAAAAUUUAAAUUUUACAGAGAAUGAAUCAAAUCUCUCGAUAAGAGAGUAAAACGAUUCGAGUAUAACAUAAAAAAAGCUUACUCUAGUGAACCAAAUUAAGUGAUCGAGCAUGUAAAUUCCCCUGCGAAUAUACUCAAAGUUAGCAUGUACAACAUAUACAGCCAGACCAGAUUGAAUAAAAAGUUUAAAGUUCCUAUGCUUGCACUGUUUUUUCGAAAU